AUGCCCACCGAGAGGGGAGUUGUUCGUGUUAUUGAUCCCUCGUCUAGCCAAAUUGUGCUGCAGGAUACAAAAGAUGGAGCGGAACUGAAAGGUUUUCAUGGUUAUGUGCAUCUUUCGAGGCGAGUUGUUUCGGUAGAGAUUAGAGGGAUGUUGGAUGUUGAGAUACAAGCCUACUCCAAAUCUGAUGAUACCGCUACACGAGGUCAUGUCCGUCUCCUGCCCAAACUUUGCAACAUAAGCCAAGAGAAAUGUGACCUAGAUGGCGCUGAGGUGGUGGUUACUGUUGCUUGGUCUCUUAUCCCUACAGACAAGCGAGACAUCAUGGCAGAGGGAUGGAGCGGAGGGAAGGUUAUUUGA
rnacentral:rRNA from 1 species